rnacentral:rRNA from 1 species
GACGAACGCUGGCGGCGUGCUUAACACAUGCAAGUCGAACGGAAAGGCCCUGCUUUUGUGGGGUGCUCGAGUGGCGAACGGGUGAGUAACACGUGAGUAACCUGCCCUUGACUUUGGGAUAACUUCAGGAAACUGGGGCUAAUACCGGAUAGGAGCUCCUGCUGCAUGGUGGGGGUUGGAAAGUUUCGGCGGUUGGGGAUGGACUCGCGGCUUAUCAGCUUGUUGGUGGGGUAGUGGCUUACCAAGGCUUUGACGGGUAGCCGGCCUGAGAGGGUGACCGGCCACAUUGGGACUGAGAUACGGCCCAGACUCCUACGGGAGGCAGCAGUGGGGAAUAUUGCACAAUGGGCGGAAGCCUGAUGCAGCAACGCCGCGUGCGGGAUGACGGCCUUCGGGUUGUAAACCGCUUUCGCCUGUGACGAAGCGUGAGUGACGGUAAUGGGUAAAGAAGCACCGGCUAACUACGUGCCAGCAGCCGCGGUGAUACGUAGGGUGCGAGCGUUGUCCGGGUUUAUUGGGCGUAAAGGGCUCGUAGGUGGUUGAUCGCGUCGGAAGUGUAAUCUUGGGGCUUAACCCUGAGCGUGCUUUCGAUACGGGUUGACUUGAGGAAGGUAGGGGAGAAUGGAAUUCCUGGUGGAGCGGUGGAAUGCGCAGAUAUCAGGAGGAACACCAGUGGCGAAGGCGGUUCUCUGGGCCUUUCCUGACGCUGAGGAGCGAAAGCGUGGGGAGCGAACAGGCUUAGAUACCCUGGUAGUCCACGCUGUAAACGGUGGGUACUAGGUGUGGGGUCCAUUCCACGGGUUCCGUGCCGUAGCUAACGCUUUAAGUACCCCGCCUGGGGAGUACGGCCGCAAGGCUAAAACUCAAAGGAAUUGACGGGGCCCCGCACAAGCGGCGGAGCAUGCGGAUUAAUUCGAUGCAACGCGUAGAACCUUACCUGGGUUUGACAUGGAUCGGGAGUGCUCAGAGAUGGGUGUGCCUCUUUUGGGGUCGGUUCACAGGUGGUGCAUGGCUGUCGUCAGCUCGUGUCGUGAGAUGUUGGGUUAAGUCCCGCAACGGGCGCAACCCUUGUUCACUGUUGCCAGCACGUUAUGGUGGGGACUCAGUGGAGACCGCCGGGGUCAACUCGGAGGAAGGUGGGGAUGACGUCAAGUCAUCAUGCCCCUUAUGUCCAGGGCUUCACGCAUGCUACAAUGGCUGGUACAGAGAGUGGCGAGCCUGUGAGGGUGAGCGAAUCUCGGAAAGCCGGUCUCAGUUCGGAUUGGGGUCUGCAACUCGACCUCAUGAAGUCGGAGUCGCUAGUAAUCGCAGAUCAGCAACGCUGCGGUGAAUACGUUCCCGGGGCU